UUUUCUCUAAGUUCACCUUGCAGUUUCCAUCUUUGAUCUCCAACUCCAAGAUCCAAUUUCUCCUCCUCCGAUUGAACUUUCUUCUCUGAUUUUGUAGUCAAUUUUCUUUCUCAUACAUACUAUCAUAUCCAAAACUCACUUUUUGUAAACAAAGCAAGUCUUCAAAAUGGUGUAUGAAUGGAAUCUUGGUUUUGUAUGGGAACCUAACAACAUAUAUCUUGGAGGAAUCGGAUCUUUCUCAAAGCAUAGCAUGAUGAUAUUUUCUCUCAAAUAGACAUGGUGACAUAUCAGACGAGUACUAUAACCUGGCCGUAAGCGGAAUUGGGAAGUCUUCGUGAGAAACGUUUAAGUACCGUAGGACAAUCAGUUUUCCGAUGUGUUACUUAUAACAUCUGACCAACCAACUUCCUAAGCUCCUGAAAAUCUUCUCAUGAGAAACAUUCCAGCACAGAACCACCACCCAGUUCUAGCAUUUAGAAGACAAAAACCAGCUUACAAUCUAGCAAGUCAAUAAAUAGAUUAACAACAAACAUGAUAUUUCCUCUCGAAUUAGAUUGAGUUUCAGGUUCAAUUUAUGUUUCAAGAUGAAAGUAUUGGUUUUGUAAUUAUUGGAUGCACAUAUUGGAGUAAAUAAUAUCAUGACAUGUGGAUCUGCAGAGGCACGGUUGGAAGCUAGCCGAGUAGUGACUUGAAGAAGUUAAGGAACUUGGGAAGUCGAGCAGACAAACAUUCUUGGAAGGAAUUUGUCAUCCCUGCUGCUGCCAAUGUUGGAGCAGGAAAUUUAGUUGGCAAUUACUUCAUAUCCCCCCAGAUCAAAUCCAGCACAUCACUUCCCUGCAAACUCCAGUGAUAAGGAAAUUUUAAAUCUCUGGUGGCAUUUUAAGGCUAGUUGGGCAAUUUGGCUUGUCUAGGUUCGAAGGAAGAUACACUUAGAUUGUCAGAGUUAGAUAUGAUUAAGAUUCAAGACAAGCCAAAUAGCAGGAGGAAAGGAUUUUCAAUAUGUGGAGUUCGUUUGUGGUUCUGAUCCGCAACUACUGAGUUAAGUUUCUCAAGAAGGAUAUGUCAGAGCAAAAGUGGAUUAGAUCAAUGAAGGAUUUUACCUUUGUUCCUUCUUCAUCAUUGAUAUGCCAGAAACUUCUCUUCAGAGUAUAUCUGGAGCUUUAUGUUCAUCCAUUAUCCAGCAGUAUGCUGUAUGCUGCAAACGUUCACAUUUCUAUGCCUUGGAUUAUAUCUGUUAAAUGAGUUUUGAAGUUGGCAACAAACUGCAAAAAGCAAUUUGGGAAAUCUCAAUAUGGAAUGCAAAUAGAAAGGCAAUUCUGCUAGAGUGGAAAUGAGAACUUGUCAGUGUUACUCAUAUUUGUUCAGAGGGUACUUUCAUCAAGGGAACUAGCACGACAGUACAGUAAAUAUGCUAACUUCUGCUGUCUUUGUAGCAGACUAGCAGUGCUGUAAGACUUCGCCAGGCAAGUAGAUUGCGGAUAAAUGCAGUAAUCUCCUUAAUCAAACUGUACAGUGCAGCAUCUUCUGUAGCUAGUGCAAUCAUCAUAAUAUAGCCAAUGUUUACAUCGAGCAGAUUUUACUAGCUGUAAAACUGUAAAAAAUAAAGAACUAUAACAAGAUAGUAAUAGCAUAUUUUUAUUCCGAA